GACGAACGCUGGCGGCGUGCUUAACACAUGCAAGUCGAACGGUUAUGCUCCAGCUUGCUGGAGUGGAUCAGUGGCGAACGGGUGAGUAACACGUGAGCAACCUGCCCCAGACUCUGGAAUAAGCGCUGGAAACGGCGUCUAAUACUGGAUACGAAACUGGCCCGCAUGGGCAUGUUUUGGAAAGUUUUUCGGUUUGGGAUGGGCUCGCGGCCUAUCAGCUUGUUGGUGAGGUAAUGGCUCACCAAGGCGACGACGGGUAGCCGGCCUGAGAGGGCGACCGGCCACACUGGGACUGAGACACGGCCCAGACUCCUACGGGAGGCAGCAGUGGGGAAUAUUGCACAAUGGGCGAAAGCCUGAUGCAGCGACGCCGCGUGAGGGAUGACGGCCUUCGGGUUGUAAACCUCUUUCAGCAGGGAAGAAGCGAAAGUGACGGUACCUGCAGAAGAAGCACCGGCUAACUACGUG
rnacentral:rRNA from 1 species